ensembl:snoRNA
AGCACUUUGUGUGUGUGUUUUUGUUCAACUGGUGGACAAAGGAAUGAAAGACAGGUGCAAAAACAAAUCCUCUGAGGUAACCCAGAACUCAUUGUUCGGUAAGAGCUUUGAUACAUACAAGAAGUGCUAUG